UACGAAGGGGACUAGCGUUGUUCGGAAUUACUGGGCGUAAAGCGCACGUAGGCGGAUUUGUUAGUCAGGGGUGAAAUCCCGGGGCUCAACCUCGGAACUGCCUUUGAUACUGCAAGUCUCGAGUCCGAUAGAGGUGGGUGGAAUUCCUAGUGUAGAGGUGAAAUUCGUAGAUAUUAGGAAGAACACCGGUGGCGAAGGCGGCCCACUGGAUCGGUACUGACGCUGAGGUGCGAAAGCGUGGGGAGCGAAUGGG
rnacentral:rRNA from 1 species